rnacentral:lncRNA from 1 species
UCUUUGAGAGAGAGAAAGGUAGUACACUAUAUGCUUCAUUCAUUAGGUAAAUAAAUAGCUAUGUAGGGUAAGGUAGUUAGGACCUGAGGAAGCAACGAAACAAAAGAAAGAGAAACUAAAUAAAGAGCUGAAAAUGACUAAAAAGAGCAUAGAGUCUAACGAAAAAAAAAAGGCCUCACCCAACUAUACAAAAAAUCGGUCCCACUCCUUUGCCAGUACUCUAAUACAACGAGUUGUAGAGAUAGCAUUCGUGGGUAGGUUUCGAAAAAUAACAUUUUUUUUAUCGUACCAAAUCGUUCACCACAGGACCGCCACAAAUAUCUGAGGCUUCAGGUUGUCAAAUGGUGAUAGGGAUGUCAAUGGGUAUGGAUACCCGAAAUUUUAUCCGAUCCUGAAUCCGAAUGAAACGGAUUUAUCCGAUGGAUAUAGAUAUGGAUUCGGAUAUGGAUAUAAAAAAUAGAAACCCGACGCAUAUGGAUUCAAAUAUGGAUUUUGAUUGUACCCGACCCGAACCUGAACCCGAACCCGACCCGAACCCGAAUUUAUUUUGUAUUAUAAUAUAUAUAAAGAGUUGAGCUAGAAUACUAUCGAUAGCAAAUGGGCUUCGUUGCCACCCAUUUGUUUUCAAUGAUAAAGUCUCCAAAUCGACGAUUGGCAUCGUUGAACAUGAUCUAUACCACUUGAAGUAUUUAGAAAUCAAAUUUUAAAUCUUUUCGACAGCAUUUGCCUAAUGAUCAAAGGUUUCAAAAUUUGUAACUUUAAUGGUUGAUAGGAGGCACUUUCUCGUUUAACGGCGUAAAGAUAUCCAAAUCAAUUGAAUUUUUGUUAGAAAAUUCUUUAAACUAUUUAAAACAAGAUCUAUACUUUUGAUCUUGACUACAAGACUCCUAUCAUCAUUUUUUAAGGAAUAUUUAUUUUCAGCCGUUCAUUUUUGUGUCCACUCGAUGGAUAAGAGAAUAAUAUCGAAAAUGUAUAAAAUUUUAUUUCUAAAUACUUCAAGUGGUAUAGAUCAUGUUCAACGGUGCCGAUCGUCGAUUUGGAGGUUCCAUCAUCGAAAACAAAUAGGUAACAACGAAGCCCGUUUGCUACCGAUAGUAUUCUAGCUCAACGAAGCCUGUUCCAUCAGAGAAAAAUUUUGACUUUUGUCGUAAUGUUCAUUCUCCAGAUGGCGGGCGUCGUGUCAUCUUUGACACCUCCAAUCCCGAUGAACGAAUACAUUGAUUUUCCUUAUGUUUUCAAACUUGUUUGGUGUACCCUUUAACUAUCAUGAACAAUAGAAAAUUUUAGUUCCUAGCAAGUUUUAUGUCCUUCCUUUUCUUUUCCUCUUUUUUAAGUUUGGGAAGUUACGGGAACAUUGCUUGGACGAACCCGCUAGAAAAAUGUUGGUAAAUUUCAAUCAUAAACAGCAUCAAUUGUCCCUAGCACAAAUUGUAUAAGACUUGUUGAUUGGUAUCUGAGAUUUCAAAUUCGAAACCUAAUAUAUAUAUAUAUAUAUAUAUAUAUAUAUAUAUAUAUAUAUAUAUAUAUAUAUAUAUAGAGUUGAUGCUAGAAUACUCUCGAUAAUAAACAGAGCAUUUUACUAUCGAGUUGUUUUGAUGAUGAGAGCUUUCAACAAUUGACGAUGCGUCCGUUAAAUAUGAUCUAAACCAUUUAAACUAUCUAGAAAUCAAAUUUCACGCACUUUCGAUAUUGUUCUUUUAUCCAUCUAGUGAAUAGAAAAUGAAUGGUUGAAAAUGAAUAUCUUUAAAAAUGAUGAUAGGAGUCUUGUUAUCAAGAUCAAGAGUAUAGAUCUUAUUUUAAAUAGUUUAAAGAAUUUUCUAAACAAAUUCAAUUGAUUUGGAUAUCUUUACACCGUUAAACGAGAAAACGUCUUUAUCCACCAUUAAAAUUACAAUUUUGAAACCCUUUGAUCAUUAGGCAAAUGAUCGAAAAGAUUUGAAAUUGAUUUCUAAACACUUUAAGUGGUAUAGAUCAUGUUCAACGGAGCCGAUCGUCAAUUUGGAAGCUCUAUCAUCGAAAACAACUGGAUAGUAAACGCUCCGUUUACUAUCGAGAGUAUUCUAGCUCAACUCUAUAUAUAUAUAUAUAUAUAUAAUUAUAUAUAUAUAUAUAUAUAUUAUAUAUUAUAUAUAUAAGUAGACGCUAAAUACUCUCGAUAGUAAACGGGGCAUUUUACUAUCGAGUUUUUUCGAUGAUAGAGCUUCCAAAUUGACGAUUGGCUCGUUAAAUAUGACAUUUAAACCAUUUAAACUACCUAGAAAUCAAAUUUCACGCACUUUCGAUAUUAUUUUUUUAUCCAUCUAGUGAACAGAAAAUGAAUGGUUGAAAAUAAAUAUUCUUUAAAAAAUGAUGAUAGAAGUCUUGUAAUCAAGAUCAAGAGUACAGAUCUUGUUUUAAAUAGUUUAAAGAAUUUUCUAACAAAAAUUCAAUUGAUUUGGAUAUCUUUACACCGUUAAACGAGAAAACGUCUCUUAUCCACCGUUAAAAUUACAAAUUUUGAAACCCUUUGAUCAUUAGGCAAAUGAUGUCGAAAAGAUUUGAAAUUUGAUUUCUAAACACUUUAAGUGGUAUAGAUCAUAUUGAACGGAGCCGAUCGCCAAUUUGGAAGCUCUAUCAUCAAAAACAACUCGAUAGUAAAACGCUCCGUUUACUAUCAAGAGUAUUCUAACUCAACUCUCUCUCUCUCUCUCUCUCUCUCUCUCUCUCUCUAUAUAUAUAUAUAUGUUAUUGAAUAAAAACAUAAUGGCGUGUGUGAUUUUGAGCCCCUUCGAUCACUAGACAAAUAAAAUCGAAAAAUCAUAAAAUUUAUUUUUUAGAUACUUCAAAUACUCUUAAUCAAGUUUAACGGAGCCGAUCGACGAUUCGAAAGUCACAACAUCGAAAACAAUUUGAAAGCACGGAAUGCUCCGUGCUUUCAAAAGCACAGUAGCCUCACUAUAUAUAUAUAUAUAUAUAUAUAUAUAUUAUUUAUUUAUUUAUAUAUAUUAUUACGAGAUAAUGCGACACGUUUAAUGCGGUUUUGGAGACUACGGUCUAUAGACCAGGUCCACGCAACAAUUUUUUACGCGCCUAGAAGCAUAUACUAGUGUCGCAUGCCGCAUGCGGAGUCGGGACUCAUCUCAAAGUGCGAGAGCGAGGGAAAAGAGAGAACCCCCAAUCUCUCUCUUCUACCCCUUCAUGCUCUCUCCAAAACCCUAGCUUUCUCCUCCUCCCUCCUCCCUUCUACCCUUUCCUAGGGUUUCAAAUUCCCCACCCCCUCCACCAAUUCGCCCCAUCUCCUUGCAGGUUGCGGAUCGACAUGGACGAGGAGGAGCUCACGGCGCAAGAAACGGCCCUCUACGAUCGCCAGAUCCGAGUGUGGGGCGUCGAUGCGCAGAAGAGGUAGUGCGCCCAUCUCUUUGAACUCUUUUUCUUUCGAUUUGAAGUGUUUUGAGUAUAUUUUGUUUGUUUUGUGUAGAUUAAGCAGGGCUCACGUACUGAUUAGCGGUUUGAGUGGUGCAACUGCUGAGGUAGUUUACCUUUUGUUAAUAUUUUGAACUACUUGUUGUUAAAAACUCUUCUUUGGCGUGUAAAGUUUGUAUUUAUCCUUACUAAGAAGCUUGGUGGUGCAUUUAAGUAGCUUGCUAAGUAUAUUGUUUCAACUCAAUGCAGUAUAGUAGGUUAAAUGUAUUACCGACAUACAAUUUGAUUUCACAAAUUGAUUGCGCUGUCCGAUUAACUUAAUUGAAAAUAUUUCAUUGGUUCUGGGAAUGAAUUGAUAGAUUACUAUGGAGCAGUGAUUUUAUAAUUUGAUGAAUAUUUGUUACUUUUGAUAACUACUAUUUUAUCUCGUUUAAGGGCCUGUUUGGCCAGGGUGAAGCUUUUGGCAUAGUGCUUUUUAAAGAAGUGCUAACAAUUUUUUUUAUUAAAGUUCGCAGAACUUGUCUAUUGGUUUUUGGGUCCUAGAAGUUCAGUUUAACUUGCUGCCACAACCAUAGCUUUUGGCUUUUGAUAGCCAAACAGGCAAACAGUAGAGACGCUGUUCUACUACAACCCAAGCAAACAGGCACAAAUGUUUGAUUUGCUUGGUUGAGAUUUUAUCCAUUAGCUAAUUGCUUUUUCUUCUUUCUUUUUUCUUUCCUUGUUGAUCAAAAUAUAUGUGUUCUACCAUUUGGCAGCAAUUUUAUUUAUUAUGCUACUAAUUGAGAUCUAGUAAUAAGUUAUAAAUAGUCUGAUUUGAUGCCAAAAUGGAAUGUCGCUGAUCUAAAUUUAGUAGGAAGCAUUCUUCAAAAGUGGCUUAUUUGUUUCCUUCUUCUGUUGUAGCUUUGCAAGAACAUUGUUCUGGCAGGAGUUGGGAGUUUGACAUUGGUGGAUCCUCGUCCUGUUACAGAGGAUGCUUGUAAUGCGAACUUUCUUAUUCUUCCUGAGAACAUAAACGGUGGCAGAUCGCUAGCAGACGUCUGCUGUGAGUCUCUAAAAGAUUUCAAUCCGAUGGUUCGGGUUUCAGCCGAAAAAGGUGAGUAGAAAGAUAAAUGGUGCGUUACUUCUAAGCAACUAAACCAGUUAACUUUUCUGAAUUUCAGUAAUCUGGACUAUAAGCAUCUAUCCUCAUUUAUUUGGGGCGACAUUACAUAGUUCAAUAAUUUGAUCUGAAAAUUCUGAUUAUAUUGAAGUUAAUUGCAAAUCAAUAAUUUGCAAUACGACAAUCAAAUCAAUGCAGCUUUAAAACCACAAGGGAUACGGCAGAAUGACAAUAAAUGACAACCAAACUGGAGACACCUGAACUUAAAGAUCUUCAGAGAACCCACACUAAGGCUUGAGUAGAUGUGCACCCAAGGUCCAGGUGCUGAUGCUUUUGCCAGGGUGUCUCUAUUGGGCCAAAGCAAGGGGGGACCCUUGGGGCCCCUGUGCGAAGACCCCGAAGUCUACGCCUCAAGCAUGCCUAUUAAAACAGUGGAUGAAAGACUUUUUUGUAGGGUCACAGUGUCAACACUAGUGUAGGUACCCGCGCGAUGCGGCGGGUAAUUACUGCUAAAGUAAAAAAUUUAUAAAUAAUAAAAUAUGAACAUAAGUAAAUAAAAUUAUAGUAUGCCAGUAUUAAAAUAUUAGUUCACAAUGAAGAGCAUUGUAGUAAAAUUUUAGAAAGAGUAAAAUAUCAACAAAAGUAAUAGUUAUAUGCAGUGAGCUAUAGCCAAUACAAAAACUUGAGUGACAGGCAAUAAAAGCAAAGACAAUAGGAGAGGCCACUGCAAAAUUUUGAAAAAAAAAUCACUUCUCAGCUUCAGAUAUAAUUGAAUUGCACUGCUGAGGAGGAAAAUCAAAGGAACCUUCCUAGCAGUUUACCGGAUCGACUCGGAUUGUCCAUGGAACGUUCCAUAUCGUCAAUCUCUGCAGGUUAAUUUGAAUCGAUUUACGUCGCCAUAUCAAAUCAAACAUUAAAAAAAAAAAAGAAAAAAAAAGAAGAAGAAAGCAAUUCAAAUUAACAUUUUGUUGU